GACGAACGCUGGCGGCGUGCCUAAUACAUGCAAGUAGAACGCUGAAGCGAGGAGCUUGCUCUUCUUGGAUGAGUUGCGCACGGGUGAGUAACGCGUAGGUAACCUGCCUUGUAGCGGGGGAUAACUAUUGGAAACGAUAGCUAAUACCGCAUAACAAUGGAUGACACAUGUCAUUUAUUUGAAAGGGGCAAUUGCUCCACUACAAGAUGGACCUGCGUUGUAUUAGCUAGUAGGUGAGGUAAUGGCUCACCUAGGCGACGAUACAGAGCCGACCUGAGAGGGGGAGUAGCCGCACUGGGACGGAGACACGGCCCAGUCGCCUACGGGAGGGAGCAGUAGGGAUGCUUGGGGAAGGGGUGCAACACUGAGCGAGAAACGCCGCGGGAGUGAAGAAGGAUGUCGGGUCGGAAAGGUCGGUUGUAAGUAAAGAAAGGGGGUGAGAGUGGAAAGUUCACACUGUGACGGUAGCUGAUCAGAAAGGGACGGCUAACUACGUG
rnacentral:rRNA from 1 species